GUCAUUGAGUCUUGCCUGCAGACAUCAGAUGGCUGUUUAUUGGCUCAUGCAAAUCAGUUGGUGUCUAUCCAGUUCCUAACAGCUCUAGCUCCAUGUUUUAAAGAGGUAGUGCUGAAAUAAAGAAACCCCUGCAGUGAAGAAACUACAGCUGAUUCUGUGCUUCCCGUCCC